ACCAAGUAUUAAGAUACUCAAAUCUCUGGGCACAUAGAUGAAGACCCUGGUCAAACAGUUGGGAAUAGCAGCUUUGGGGCUUGAUUUAGACUGAGGAAAUGUCACAGGACUACAGCCAGGAUUGCCCCUUCAAUGCAUUUUAAAGAGUAAAGGUCAGUGUCUUUCCAGUUUGGCUACCAGGAUAGUUGUUCACAGAAAAAAUAAUUCCUCAAUGUCUGCUUGAAGGCCACAUAGUACCGAAAAAGAAAUAGACUUUAUUAAGUCAUCUGUUUUACAGGUAUAGUCCUCUGUAACUUUGUGCACUCAUUGGCCAGAGUUGAUACCAUUUCUGGUGGGUAAUGCUUGUCUAUAGCCAAUGUGGGUCUCUGACUGCUAUAUCCUGAUAAUCCCAGACACCAGAUCACCUAUGCAAAUGGAUAAAAUAGCAUGUCCUGGAGAAUUCUGGGCUGAACCCGUCUCCUUAAUGUGCUAGCUUAGUGAGCAAAUGCAUUUGUUUCCUUGGAAUAGAAGAAGAAGAUUUGGAUUUGAUAAGCUGCUUUAUCACUACCCCCUAAGGAGUUUCAAAGCAGCUAACAAUCUCCUUUUCCCUUCCUCCCCCACAACAAACACUCUGUGAGGUGAGUGAGGCUGAGCGACUUCAAAGAAGUGUGACUAGCCCAAGAUCACCCAGCAGCUGCAUGUGGAGGAGCAGGGAAUCAAACCCGGUUCACCAGAUUACGAGUCCACUGCUCUUAACCACUACACCACACUGGCUCAAAUAUGCCACACACUGUCAGGUGGCAGAGGAUCCCACCCCCACAGCAGGUUGCCAGGAACGGAUAAGACAAGGGAAAGUUCUUACCAACUGCUUUUUAUUCAAUAUUCACAGAGAGAUGCUUGGAAAUGCAACCUCUUAGAAUAAUGGCAUUACCCCGAGUGGGUCUCCACCCCAUCCCCCUCUCCCUUCAUGCAUCAUCACUAUGGGUGCUGAGAAGUGCCCUCUGCCUCUGAGCUCUUUUCUCUCCUACUUUCAAUGCUCACCGGGUUCUAGGAGAGAGGGGCCUGGAAUGCUUUUGAAAGACAUUGUGUCCAUCAGCUGUGGCCCCUCUGGUAGGUCUUCUUCCUCCUCUCCCAUUAUUUCCCAGCUUUUCCCCUCAUCUGCCUCUGAGCUGUAAUCUCCCUCAAACCCCUGUUGUAAUUCUGAACUGUCUCCUUCUCUGGAAGGGUCAGGUUGGGGAGGCAGUCUCCACCAUUCCUCCUCUGCCCAGUCCCUGACACACACUACCCAAAAAUUGUACAGGAAAGUAUUCAGCAUGGAAUUCUGCAAAAGCUAUAAAUGAACACCAGGCGCAUUCAAGUAACGCAAGCCAGGAUCCAAAGGUGUAUUUUAGGCUCCCUGGCAAAUUUGAGAACAUUUAAAUCAGGGGUCAGCAAACUUUUUCAGCAGGGGGCCGGUCCACCAUCCCUCAUACCUUGUGGGGGGGCGGGCUAUUUUUUUUUGGGGGGGGUGAACGAAUUCCUAUGCUCCACAAUAACCCAGAGAUGCAUCUUAAAUAAAAGCACACAUUCUACUCAUGUAAAAACACCAGGCAGGCCCCACAAAUAACCCAGAGAUGCAUUUUAAAUAAAAGGACACAUUCUACUCAUGUGAAAACACACUGAUUCCCGGACCGUCUGUGGGCCGGAUUGAGAAGGCUAUUGGGCCAGAUCCGGCCCCUGGACCUUAGCUUGCCUACCUAUGAUUUAAGCAAACAAACAGCUGAGUGUAGUGUCAUAUCACAAACAGUUUCUCUCCCCACGCCCCCAGUUUCACAAAGAACAAUAUGACAUUGUGGGGUGAUACACUCUCUGAAAGAAAUGAAAUGUAUUUAGGAAGGGAAGAAUGAAGACAAUCGAAAGCUUGCUCAAGUUCGUGAAUUUACAGUAGUUCCGCAGUUCUUUGAAUCCUGCCUAAGGAGUGUGGAUCAUUCAUAAAAUACAAUUUUGUAAGGUAAUUUGGGAGAAAGGUUCUUGUUAAACUAAGUACUCGUUAUAUCAUGUUUUUGAAGAAUGAUCAUACAGUGCUCAAAAACUCCUAUAUUUUGACAAUUUUGUAGUUAAUUGCACUUGCUGCUAGCAAACGGCGACCUUUAGCUGACAUAUUAAUACUCUCAGUAAUCAGCUAAAGGUCACAUCUUGUUUAGAGCCGCCGCUUUUUCCUUGCCACAUACUCCAAACACCAGGAAAAUGUCUUCUGUGCCAAUUAGAGGUGUUAAUGUGGCAGUCAGAGAUCACCAACUCUUCCAUGAAUAAGCUGGUUCAGUGGUUUAAUCCCAGCAGUAGGAAGAGCUAUGAUGAAAAUCAGAUCCUCCAAAAGCCUGUCUCAAAAACACUAAUAGGGUGACGUAAAUUGUUACCAAUUGGCCUAAGAUUUAAUGGGAUUUUUUUUUUAAUGACAGAGCUGCUUCUGUGAAAUCAUUUACUUGUGAGUAGCAGGACUGCCAGCUAAUUAAAGAGCUGUAGCUAAUUUAUCAUCUCCUUAAACAUUAAUCCAUGCUUAAAUUUUUAAUAAAUUUUAAUAUUACCAAAACUCCAGUAUAAGGGCAUUUCUGAAGGAAGUGAAAGAUAAUCAAUAAACCUUUUAUUUGGUUAAUCUACUGAUUAUAUUAGAUUCACUAGAGCGGGCAAUACGGAGCAGUACCAACUGAGGUAAUGAUCCUGCGAUGCAAUGAUUCAAGCAUGUAUUAGGUUUAUGUUAUUGAACCAUGUGAUUCCAGAUGAAUUUGGUGCACAGAAUUAGAGACUUGUAUUGCAUUUCGUGUAGUGCAGUUUAUUUGUACUGGAUGUCUCUAUACCAGACAUAUGCAGAUAUAGAGAAGUCUGGGAGCCACAUAUGACUACAUAAUGCUUGUGCAUGUGUUUCUGCAUGGGGAUGUAUAUGGGAUAACAUCCUAGGCCCCUUUAAAAUAUGGUUUUUUUGUGAGGAGGGGCUAUUGGGUUGUUGUUUUUAUUUUGAUUAUAUCUUUUCUGGUUUUAUAAUUUGAUUUUGUUCUGUGAACCACCCUGAGACCCCAGGUAUAGGGCCGUAUAUAAAUUCAAUAAAUACUACUACUACAACAACAACAACAACAACAACAAAAAUGAGGCAAGGCAUUAUGUACCAGAUUCCAAUCCAUGGACUGGGGUGAGAGACUGACAUUUCUCUCUCUCUCUCUCUCUCUCUCUCUCUCUCUCUCACACACACACACACACACACACACACACACCACCUUCAUUAUACACCUUUAGGCACCAGGCAAAAACAUUCCUUUUUAACCAGGACUUUGGUUGAUCUUAUUGCCAUCCAACACCAUUUUAGAAUGUAGCUUUUGGGGGGGUGGGUUACCGGGUUACUGUUUUUGGUUUGAGUUUAUAUGCUGUGGUCUUGUUGUGAACAGCCCUGAGACCUCCGGGUAUAGGGUGGUGUAUAAGUUGAAUUAUUAUUGUUAUUAUUAACAACAACAACAACAAACAAACAACAUCACUUUAUUACGGUCAUAGAUGUGUGUGAAUCAGAACAUUCAUGUGGUACAACUUUUACUGGACUCUUAUAAUUUUAGAUGGCAGGCAGGGUUUGCAUAUUUGAAUGCACACAAAACACAUGAACAUUAUAUCUCAGGGUUAACUAUUCUACUUUAUCCACCUCUCAGACGUGUUGCUUUGUUUCUUGAAGGAGCAUUGGGAGGGGGAGUUGGAUGUAUUUGAACGCUGACAGCCUGUAACGAUACAGCCCAGGGGAAGUGGCACCAUGUGCGAUUUCUGCUCUUAGCGCUCCCAACUAUUGCUUAAGCUGACCCAUCCCUGCACCAGAAGAAAAUGGUUUGCACCACAGGCCAGUAGCAAGGGCCUGAUUCAUUUAUAAUGGCAAACAGUGUGGUUGCUGUAAAAAAUGUGCGAGGAGACACUUCUGUGGUUGUUGGCAUCCAUCUUUAUCGGAAUACAGUGGAAGAGUACACCUUCAAGAAUAAAGUCAAACCACUGGGAAGUUGCAGUGCCUGCUGUGGCUGUGGAGACCAAUAUGGGAGAGACAUGUUUUAUUGCAGAGGCAGGGGUCAAAGGAAAGCAUCCGGUUUUGCUGCUACAGGUACACCAUGGUGUUUCUUCCUUCUGUGCUCCUCCCAGUGGUCAUUCCUCCCCUGGCCACUACUGUAGAUACACAAUCUUACUGUCUGUCUCCAGGCACUGUGGUUAUCUCAAGGGAUGCCCAUAUGGUUGCUUGGCUUCGCAUCUUGUUUGCCAACAUCUUUGUAACACAGAGUUGGUCUGCCAAUGGGCCUGUUGCCUGAAGCCAACUCUCCAUAGAGCACGUCCUUGGGGAUCCUGCCAGCCUUCAUUCUGUAUGCAUGACCAAGCCAGGAUAGACGUCGCUGAGACAGGAGUGAAAACAUGCUGGAGAUGUGGGGUUGGGAGAACACAUUUUUGUUUGAGACUCUGUCCUGCCAUGUGAUGCCCAAAAUCUUCCUGA